UACGUAGGGUGCGAGCGUUGUCCGGAAUUCUUGGGCGUAAAGAGCUCGUAGGCGGUCUGUCGCGUCUGCUGUGAAAACCCGAGGCUCAACCUCGGGCCUGCAGUGGGUACGGGCAGGCUAGAGUGCGGUAGGGGAGAAUGGAACUCCUGGUGUAGCGGUGGAAUGCGCAGAUAUCAGGAAGAACACCGAUGGCGAAGGCAGUUCUCUGGGCCGUAACUGACGCUGAGGAGCGAAAGCGUGGGGAGCGAACAGG
rnacentral:rRNA from 1 species